CAAUUUUUUGAAAUCUACCAGUCAAGAAAUAGGGCGUCUUCUCUCAGCAGCAUUGAUGCACAGCUGCUUGCAACUCUGCGGCAUUAGUGUAAUGGUGUUCUCUCCGCUUGGG